rnacentral:lncRNA from 1 species
AACAACUUUAUUGAAGGGGGUGGGAGGAAAAUGGGCUGACCUAGGUAACUUUGGAAAUUAGUAACCUCUGAGACCACAGGCACAAGAAACUGCACAUAAGCCCUGGACUCCAAUUGAUAAAGCUGGUUCUCACGGGGGUAUGGGUUAACAAUUCUGGUGCCACUGUAUGUGUAUACUGGAAUUAAACAAGUAAAUAAUGCUGUAUGGGGAGAGUCAAGUUUCUCACUAUUGGAAUGGGAGGGGCAAGAGGGAGCCAAGAGGACCCUAAGGAGACGUGACUGCUAAAUGUAAUCCACUUGUGGAAUGGUACCUCUUUUCACUACUGAUCUGCCAUGACAGAUAAAUUCCUGAUAACCACUUCAGGCCAUUCAUGUUUUGAAGACUCAUUUCAGCUCUGUGUCAGAGAUUCCUCACUCUUCCAUAGAGGUUGAACCAGUGUUUAUCCAGCUCCCAUGCUAUGAGGGAGCCCAAGCAGCUGUGAAGAAAAACCCUUGUAAAGGAGAACUGAGACUUCAGGCAGUGGCUCCAGCUGAGCUCCUAGCUAACUGCCAGUGCAAACUUGCCAGCCAUGUGGUUGAGGUCAUUUUGGACAUAUCCACUGUCCUAGAAUGCUGGCCAACACCAUGUAAAGCAGAACUGUGCCAUCUUCUCACAGAAUCAUGAUAUAUAAUAAAU